CAGUAGCCACGGUAAUACGGAGGGGGCUAGCGUUGUUCGGAAUUACUGGGCGUAAAGCGCGCGUAGGCGGCUUGGUAAGUUAGAGGUGAAAGCCUGGGGCUCAACCCCAGAAUUGCCUUUAAGACUGCCGAGCUAGUAGGUGAGAGAGGUAAGUGGAAUUCCGAGUGUAGAGGUGAAAUUCGUAGAUAUGCGGAGGAACACCGAUGGCGAAGGCAACCCCCUGGGCCUGCACUGACGCUCAUGCACGAAAGCGUGGGGAGCAAACAGGAUUAGAUACCCCCGUAGUCCCUGUCUCUUAUAA
rnacentral:rRNA from 1 species